rnacentral:rRNA from 1 species
AGAGUUUGAUCCUGGCUCAGAACGAACGCUGGCGGCGUGGAUAAGACAUGCAAGUCGAACGAGAGAAUUGCUAGCUUGCUAAUAAUUCUCUAGUGGCGCACGGGUGAGUAACACGUGAGUAACCUGCCCCCGAGAGCGGGAUAGCCCUGGGAAACUGGAUUAAUACCGCAUAGUAUCGAAAGAUUAAAGCAGCAAUGCGCUUGGGGAUGGGCUCGCGGCCUAUUAGUUAGUUGGUGAGGUAACGGCUCACCAAGGCGAUGACGGGUAGCCGGUCUGAGAGGAUGUCCGGCCACACUGGAACUGAGACACGGUCCAGACACCUACGGGUGGCAGCAGUCGAGAAUCAUUCACAAUGGGGGAAACCCUGAUGGUGCGACGCCGCGUGGGGGAAUGAAGGUCUUCGGAUUGUAAACCCCUGUCAUGUGGGAGCAAAUUAAAAAGAUAGUACCACAAGAGGAAGAGACGGCUAACUCUGUGCCAGCAGCCGCGGUAAUACAGAGGUCUCAAGCGUUGUUCGGAAUCACUGGGCGUAAAGCGUGCGUAGGCUGUUUCGUAAGUCGUGUGUGAAAGGCGCGGGCUCAACCCGCGGACGGCACAUGAUACUGCGAGACUAGAGUAAUGGAGGGGGAACCGGAAUUCUCGGUGUAGCAGUGAAAUGCGUAGAUAUCGAGAGGAACACUCGUGGCGAAGGCGGGUUCCUGGACAUUAACUGACGCUGAGGCACGAAGGCCAGGGGAGCGAAAGGGAUUAGAUACCCCUGUAGUCCUGGCAGUAAACGGUGCACGCUUGGUGUGCGGGGAAUCGACCCCCUGCGUGCCGGAGCUAACGCGUUAAGCGUGCCGCCUGGGGAGUACGGUCGCAAGAUUAAAACUCAAAGAAAUUGACGGGGACCCGCACAAGCGGUGGAGUAUGUGGCUUAAUUCGAUGCAACGCGAAGAACCUUACCUGGGCUUGACAUGUAAUGAACAACAUGUGAAAGCAUGCGACUCUUCGGAGGCGUUACACAGGUGCUGCAUGGCCGUCGUCAGCUCGUGUCGUGAGAUGUUUGGUUAAGUCCAGCAACGAGCGCAACCCCUGUUGCCAGUUACCAGCACGUGAAGGUGGGGACUCUGGCGAGACUGCCCAGAUCAACUGGGAGGAAGGUGGGGACGGCGUCAGGUCAGUAUGGCCCUUAUGCCCAGGGCUGCACACGUACUACAAUGCCCAGUACAGAGGGGGCCGAAGCCGCGAGGCGGAGGAAAUCCUAAAAACUGGGCCCAGUUCGGACUGUAGGCUGCAACCCGCCUACACGAAGCCGGAAUCGCUAGUAAUGGCGCAUCAGCUACGGCGCCGUGAAUACGUUCCCGGGUCUUGUACACACCGCCCGUCA